UAAGGAAUAUUGGACAAUGGCCGCAAGGCUGAUCCAGCCAUCCAGCGUGCAGGAAGAAGGCCCUAUGGGUUGUAAACUGCUUUUAUCAGGGAAUAAACCUCUGGAUUCACUCCGGAGCUGAAGGUACCUGAAGAAUAAGCACCGGCUAACUCCGUGCCAGCAGCCGCGGUAAUACGGAGGGUGCGAGCGUUAUCCGGAAUUACUGGGUUUAAAGGGUGCGUAGGCGGCUUUGUAAGUCAGGAGUGAAAGUUUGCGGCUCAACCGUAAAAUUGCUUCUGAUACUGCAUGGCUAGAAUUAGGAUGAGGUCAGCGGAAUGUGGCAUGUAGCGGUGAAAUGCAUAGAUAUGCCAUAGAACACCAAUUGCGAAGGCAGCUGGCUAGACCUGGAUUGACGCUGAGGCACGAAAGCGUGGGGAGCGAACAGG
rnacentral:rRNA from 1 species